CUCUCGCACUAGCGCCCCGCACCUGUGGCGCCCCUGCUCCGCCCAGUCCCGCGGCCUCCUCGCCCCUAGUCCCCGGCGCUCCCCGCCCCUUCCCGUGGGAUCCGCCCCUCCGCCAGCCCCGCUGGCUUCCCCUCUCCGCCACCCCGGACUCAGAACCUCCCCUCCCCCGCCGGGGCCUGGGCGCGCCUGCCCUUCGCUCCCCGACCUCCUGCUGCAGCUCUGGGCCCCUCGGCCGCUCCCUCCCCUCCUCCCUUGCUCACCCCACGGUUGGCCGCGGAUCUCCAGCACGCCGCCCCAGUCCUCGGCGUCCCGCAGCGCCUGCCAGGGUCGCCGAGCCUCCCCUGCCUCCUGGCCGCCUCUGCAGUGCCGUCCUCCCGGGGCUGGCUCUCUCCCCAGGCCCCCGCUUUGGCCACCCAGGCACUUUCCGCCCUGAGCGUGGCAGCUGCUGCCGGGGGUCCUGGGACCGCGGGAUGGGAACUCCCACGCAGCGUCCCACAGGCUCCUGGCCGCCGCGAGCCCGCGCGACUCGCACGAGCAUGUCCACCCGCAGCGAGGGGCCGGUCACUGCUACGGAGCCCGCCAGAAGGCAAAGCCCCAGACAGCAAAUAGGGAGGCGGCUGGCACCCAGGGAGGCCGAGGCGGGAGGAUCGCUGGAGCCCAGGAGUUCGAGACCUGCCUUGGCAACAUACUCCCUCCAGCGUGCCAAAUGCUGCUAAUGGACAGCCGCUCCUGCCGCUCUGAUGUUGCUAGACCUCCUCAGCACUCAGCCCAAGGCAGCCAGGAAGAAUGAACGAAUGGUGAUUCAGAGGGAAAGGAGGAAGCUGCGUGGCAUUUCAGAGAUACUUAUUUUAAAACUGCUGGUGGCCAUGUCUUCUUUUCAUAUCAGAGCUAAUGAGUUUUGAUAUGUGAACAUUUCUUCUCCUUCAUAGAAAACUCUGCUUCACAAACACAGGAUAUUGGAAAUGGAAGUGGGCUUUUCAGUGCUUUGGGAACAAUCACAGGAGAUUCUGCCUUGGCUGUAAUCCAGAACGUAUGGAGAUUUGAAGUUGUCGCAAACAUACUUUGAAGGCCACCAGAUGCAGCUGUACAAUUGAAGUCCAUCAGCUCACUUGCCUCAAUAAAGCCUGCCACUGCAUGCAGCUUGUCACUUGCCACUCACAGAUAGGGUUUUGAUAUGACUCUGCAAGCAAUUGAUUUAUGAUGGUCUCUGUGCUGUCAAACCUCUCUGCUAAUGUUCAUCUGUAUUUGCAGCCACUCCCAAGUGCUAGCAUCGCC
rnacentral:lncRNA from 1 species